rfam:Trichobilharzia regenti genome assembly, scaffold: TRE_scaffold0001062
UUACUGCUAAGGAGUCCCAAACUAGGACGAAACAGCUGUCCAGUAC